GGUUGGAUUCAAGACGUCGAUAUGUUGUCUCAUCCUGGAUUAGUCGUCGGACCAUAUCCAGAUCACACAAUGCUUGAUUCUCCUCACAGUUGUCUGAUUGGCUCCAGAUUCCUCCGCACGAUGGAAGACUAAGAACAUUUUCUUCGCUCCUUCUCAAAUCGUUUUCCUGCUCCAUAAAGUUACUUAUUCUUCAUUGGUCUAUUAUGUUCCUGUUACAAGUUUUUCUAUGCUAUCAAAGAAAGAGGGAUAUUUGAAUACCCCACAGACUUAUAUUACUUAGCCUGUUCCUGAUUGGCUGCUUAUU